GGAAAAUGAUAUCCUGGGGAUAAAAUGACGCAUUCUGUAGGGCAAUGUAUCUUGUACUUUUCUUUGCAGUUGCAGCAAGAUGCUACGAAAACUUAGCUAAUCUCUCGGAGUAUUCCGGUUUACCCACUCAGAGUGAAUCCUAUAGGUACCCAGACUUGUUUCUAGCAGACAAAGCAGUGGAUGGCUAUCUGGAAGAGGAUCUAGGUGGAGAAACGUGCAGUAUAACUCUUGCUAACAACCUAAUCACACGGCUUGGUGGAAAUUUCCAUUAAAACGCUUUGCCAAUGUUGCAUUUUUGGAAAUCUUUUUCCGAAAAUCAACUGUGAAUCGACAUGUUGGAUUUUCUUUCUUUGUGUUCAAUGACUCAUCAUAUACCCCAAGACCUAGUUCCGGCGACAGAGUCUGUAUCCAAGACACAUCUACCUGCCCUCUUCCAGAGAUGACUAUAAACGUAAAUAAAGUGACCGAAGGAAUAGCUCUUUACAAUUCAAAGGAUCCUCCAAUUAAUACUAACUGUAGGGGAUACGAGCAAGAAUUUGCUACUAUUGAAAUUUGUGAAGUAUUUGUGAUGGGUUGUCCUUUUCAACACUAUGGUGAAAACUGCACAGUUUGCAAUCCCAGAUGCCGUGAUCAGCUGUGUGCUGCAUUCAAUGGUUCAUGCAUUUAUGGAUGCAACAAUUCACUAAUGGUGUCAUCAAACUGCUCAUGUGUAACCGGACAUUAUGGAACCAUUUGUGAGAAUUUAUGUGGAAAGUGUGUAAAUGGGACCCACUGUGAUCAGCACACCGGAAUCUGUCCACGAGGGUGUGAAGAAAACUGGCAAGGUCAAACCUGUAAUG